UGUGAACAUACCAUAUUGUUGCCUCGGCGGUGCCUGUUUCGGCAGCCCGCCAGAGGACCCAAACCCUAGAUUACAUUAAAGCAUUUUCUGAGUCAAUGAUUAAAUCAAUCAAAACUUUCAACAACGGAUCUCUUGGUUCUGGCAUCGAUGAAGAACGCAGCGAAAUGCGAUAAGUAAUGUGAAUUGCAGAAUUCAGUGAAUCAUCGAAUCUUUGAACGCACAUUGCGCCCGCCAGUAUUCUGGCGGGCAUGCCUGUCCGAGCGUCAUUUCAACCCUCAAGCCCCCGGGCUUGGUGUUGGAGAUCGGCGAGCCCCCCGGGGCGCGCCGUCUCCCAAAUAUAGUGGCGGUCCCGCUGUAGCUUCCUCUGCGUAGUAGCACACCUCGCACUGGGAAACAGCGUGGCCACGCCGUAAAACCCCCCAC
rnacentral:rRNA from 1 species